UGCGCAUAACCUCCGUAUAUAAAUGAUGCUGAAAAACUGUUACGGUUUUUUUUUUUUUAGGGUUCGGUGUUUUACUGUUGAGCUGCUCAGUGCCCAGCUUAGAGGACCAGGAAAAGGAGUCACCGGCCGUAUGCUGGAGGCUUGAGACACGGCACAGCGGCGCAGCUCGCCUCGCUAUGUCCUUUAGGUUGUUUGAGGGACAUUCAUCAAGGAAACCGGAGAAACUUAAAAUGCUCUUCCGCUUCUUUGGAACAGUCACAGAGAAAAGUGAACUCCUUUCAUUCUUGCAGUAAUUUUUCUUGCUGAUGGGAACAGUUCAAGUCAAGUGACAUAACCUACUGGGUUGGUGACAUUUACAAGACAGAGUCUUGAGGAUUUUCCAGAACGGGAAAGAUUUUGAAAGAACAAAGAGGAACUACAGAAUCAUUGCUUACAUUGACACCGGCCCUGUUGUCCCAAUGGAUGGGUUUUUUUUGGAUGAACGUCAAAAUUGACCCUGCUGUUAAAGCUUGAAACUUGGAUCUGUUGUAUCUGAGUUCUCUCCUCAAAAAAAGACCUUCAGGAAGUAUCAGAUAACUGAAACAUACCAGAUCACAGCACCACAUGCCUCCUGCCCCUCCCUAAUUUCUGUUCUCUUAUACAUUGUUAAAUUUUUUUCCUGCCCCUAUUAGUCAAGCCCAUGGAUUUGAGACUGAGCUCCCAGCUCCUGGGCCGCAGCACCAGGUUAAAGCUUUCUUCCUUGGCAGUACUUGUCACCUCAGUGACUGGCUUUUUCUCCGAUGAGCAGGAGGACCUGGACGAAACCCCUAGUGUUUGGUCAAGGAACUUGAUGCUCCCUAAAUCCAAAUAUUACGGUUAAAAGAAGAGAGAGGAAAUGUGUGCAGAGAAAGUGUAUUUUACAAAUGAAUUAAAGGUGGAUUCUGAGAUACAGGUUUAUAGAUUUACCUAGAGUUUUGAGUUCAGGUGAGUUUUCACAAUAUGCAGUAAGUGGAAAAGAAUCCCAAAAUAAUUGUGACAUGAAAAAGCUAGAUGUUGAAAACCAAAAAGAUUUCACUUUGGUAUGGCACUUUUAAUUCAAGAAUACUAGCCACCAAAUGAGUUUUUCUGACUGUAAUCAUUGCUCUUUAAAAAUUGAGAUGUAUUUAUAACUUUUGUUUGACUUUUAGUACAGCUUCUGAAUUUAGUUAUCAACAGAUAGGACAAAAUAGAUGAGCAUCUGCUUCCCUUCCCCCUAAACAAUGUAUUCUUACCGAAAUGUAAUAUAUUUUUAUUUAUACUUGAAGACAGUGUUUUUCAAUCUUUUCCAUGUUAGUAGCUCAGAUCUUUAAGGACAGAGGAUGUGUACUGGGGGCAGUUUGUGGUCUUAAUCCUAAGUGGCACUCUGAUAUUUUAGAUUAUUUCUUUCAUAUUUGUGAGUAAAACUUCUGCUCCAGUAGGAUGAGCCUGUUUACCUUGUGACUGCCUAACAGAUCUGUUGCUUUAUAUGCCAGUUUUUAGAAGCAGGCAGAUUACGUUACUUGGAUUAAAAUGUUUUUGACACUAAAGGUAGUAUCUUAAAUUUUUACAUAUGAGUUACUUUAAGUACAACUUUGCUUAAAUUAUGGGGAUCGAGUUUCCAUAACUUUCACCAUAGUGAAAAUGGAAAGCAGGGAACAUUCCACAGCAAAUCCUGAACUUACUUACAGAGUUAAUUGAGCAAAGCAGGCAUUCACACUUGUGUGUGUGUGUCAGUGACAGAUGAGCAUGGUACUUGAAGCAUAAUUGUGCUGCUUCAGAUUCCAAUAUCCAGUAAUUUUAUCAUGUAGCUAGAGUAACUAAUAUUAAGUCCCCAAGCCUACUUGGGUCUACUGUAUUUGUAUUUUAAAAGAAUGUUUUUAAGCUACCAAAUAGACAUGUUAUAUAUUUCUUCUGAAUUAGAAAACGUUAUUUGGAUUAAUAGAGUUAAUAGAAUCAUAUUUUAUGUUUAUUAUGUCUUUUUUUCUUUUUUCAUGAGAUGGAGUUUCACUCUCGUCACCCAGGCUGGAGUGCAGCAGCGCGAUCUCAGCUCACUGCAACCUCCGUCUCCUGGGUUCAAGUGAUUCUCCUGCCUCAGCCUCCCGAGUAGGUGGGAUUACAGGCCCCUGCCACCACGCCUGGCUGAUUUCUUGUAUUUUAGUAGAUAUGAGGUUUCACCAUGUUGGCCCAGGCUGGUCUCGAACUCCUGAACUCAGGAAGCCAUCAUUCUUUAGAGGGCAAUGACCAAACAGUACCAGCAGAAAUUGAAGUACCAGCAGAAGGCUAAGAAGGGAUCAUGGCACAAGCUGCAGUUUCCACCCUGCCCAUUGAAGAUGAGGAGUCCAUGGAAGAUGAGGAGUCCGUUGAAGAUGAGUCUGUUGAAGAUGAGUCCGCAGAGAACAGGAUGGUGGUGACAUUGCUCAUAUCAGCUCUUGAGUCCAUGGAUCAUGGCACAAGUUGCAGUUUCCACCCUGCCCAUUGAAGAUGAGGAGUUUGUUGAAGAUGAGGAGUCCUUGGAGAGCAGGAUGGUGGUGACAUUCCUAAUGUCAGUUCUCGAGUCCACGGUCAGACCUUCUGUUCUCACAUUCUGUAGUUUGGUAGGACUGGGCAGUAGAUAAGGUUGAUUUAUUUUUGUAGAACUUACAAUUUUAUGAUUUUCAGUUGUAAUGAGUAGACCUUUUUCGUGAAUAGUAGUUAUGGUUAAACACCUCUAACCAAAUGUGCAUGUGGAGUUUCUACACUGAUUUUCAGACAAUCUGGAUCCCAACUGGGUAUCCCACAAUUCCAUCCUGACACUCCCUGGAGUUAGUGCAGACCCCGCAGGAUGGGGGCUCAGUCCCAGGAGUCUACCCUCACUCCACAUGCCAAUUGCAAGUCUUGGGUUGUCACAUGUAGUUUUGACCGACCAGUUAGAAAACAGGGUUUCAUGACCCCGUUGCUGGGUGGAAUCAUUUGCUCGGACAGCUUGCAGAACUCAGAAAAACAGGUUUUUUUUUUUUUUUUUUUCUGAGAUACAGGGUCUCAGUCUGUUGCCAGACUGGAAUGCAGUGGUGUGAUCAAAGCUCACUGUAGCAUGGGACUCCUGGGCUCAAGUGAUCCUCCCACCUCAGCCUCCCAAAUAGCUGAGACUACAGGCCCGCACCAGCAUAUCUGGCUAAGUUUUUUUAUUUUUUGUAGAGAAGGGGUCUUGUUAUGUUGCCCAGGCUGGUCUCAAAUUUCUGGGCUCACAUGAUCCUCCCACUUCAACUUCACAAAAUGCUGGGAUUAUGGGUGUGAGCCACUGCAUCUCACCAAUUUACUUUCUUUUACUGGUUCAUUUUAAAGGCUAUAUCUCAGAAACAGCCGGUGAAAGAGAUGUACAUGCUGGGCACAGUGGCUCAUGCCUGUAAUUUCAGCUCUUUGGGAGACUGAGGCGGGAGCAUCGCUUAAGUGCUCAGGAGAUUAAGACCAGCCUGGGUAACACGGCGAAAACACAUCUCUACAAAAAGGUUUUUCUAAAAAUUAGCCAGGUGCAGUGAUCUAUAGUUCUAGCUACUCAGUGCCUAUAAUUCUAGUUACUCAGGAGGCUGAGGUGAGAGGAUGAGAGAUGGGGCUUGAGCUAGGGAGGCAUAGGUCGCAGUGAGCCACGAUUGUGCCACGGCACUCUAGGCUGGGGGACAGAGCCAGACCCUGUUUCAAAAAAAAAAAAAAAAACCACAGGGCAAGGUGUGUCGGGAGGUCGGGAGGGGUGCAGAACUUCCAUGCUCUCUAUUGCGCGUGUUACCUUCCUGCUAUCUCCCUUGUGUUCAGCAACCCCGGCAUUCUCCAAAUCUGGUUGUUGAGGUCAUUUAUGAAGGCUUCUUUAGGCAGGCAUGAUAGAUGAAAUCAUUGACUAUUGGUGAUUAAGUCAGUCUUCGGCCACUAUUUCUUCCUGGAGCCCAGUGGGUGAGGCUGACAGUUCCAAGCCUCUAAUCACAUGGUUUGUUCUUCUGGCAACCAGCCCUUUUUCUUAAGCUGUCUAGGAGCUUUCAGUCACCCAGUCAUCUCAGUAACAUCACCAAAUGCAUUCUUACUAUGGUGAUCCCAAAGGUCUUAGAGGCUCUUCUGUUAGAAACCUGGGACUAAGACCAAAUAUUCAAACAAAAGAUGGUCCUAUCACCUUUAUCACCAAGGCCUUUAUAAGAACUUGAGAAGCUCUGUGCCAGGACGAGGGGCAGAAACCAAAUGUGUAUUUCUUUUCUUUUUCUUUUGAACACAGAGUCUCUGUUUCACCCAAUCUGGAGUGCAAUGAUGCAGUCGUAGCUAACUGCAGCCUCAACCACCUGGGCUCAAGCAAUUCUCCCGCCUCAGCCUUCCAAGCAUCUGGGACUACAGGUGCACACCAUCCAUGCCCAGCUGAUUUUUGUAUUUUUUUGUAGAGAUGGGAUCUUGUUAUAUUGCCGAGGCUGGUCUUGAACUCUGGGGCUAAAGCAAUCCUUUCACCACAGCCUCUCAAGUAGCUGAAACUACAGAUGCAUACCACCACGCCCAGCUAAUUUUCUCUUAUUUCUUUUUGUUGUUUAAUUGUGGGGGGGGAUCUCACUGUGUUUCUCAGGCUGGUCCCGAACUUCUGGCCUCAAGCAUUUCUCCUGCUUUGACCUCCUAAACCGUUGGGAUUAUGGUUGUGAGCCCCGGCCUCUGUGUCCAGCAAUCACAAGAGGUCUUUAUAAGUGAAAGAGGGAGGUAAGAGAGUCAGAAUUGAAGGAGAUUUGAUGAUGGAAGCACAGGUCACAGAGGGAGAUUUGAAUAUGCUUUGCUUCUGGCUUUGAAGAUGCAGUUAGGGGCCAUGAGGCAAAGAAUAGGGGUGGCUUUCGGAACUGGGAAAGGCAAGGGAACACCUUCUCUCUGGAAACUCCAGAAGGGAUGCAGUCCUGCUGACACCUUGACUUUAGCCUUAAUAGACCUAUUUUGGACUUCUGGCCCCCAGACCUGUUAGGUAGUAGAUUUGUGGUGUAUUAAGCCACUCAACAUAGGGUAGUUUGUAACAGCAGCAAGAAGAAAUGAACAUGAAGCCAGGGGUAGUGGCCCACACCUAUAAUUCCAGCUAUUUAGGAGGCUGAGGCAGGAUGGUUGCUCUGGCCCAGGAGUUCAAGAUAAGCCUGGGCAACAAAGUGAUACCCUGUCUACAUGGGGAAAAAAAAUUAGCGGGUGUAGUGGCAUGCACUUGUAGUCUUAGCUACUAGAGGCGCUGAGGCAGGACGAUUUCUUGACCUAGGAGUUCCAGGUCUCAGUGUGUUGUGAUCGUGCCAUGGUGCCCCAGCCUGAGUGACACAGCGAGACUAUAUCUUAAAAAAAAAGUAAAAAGAAAUGAGUGAGCAUGGCAGGAAUGGGGACACAUAGCAAUAUUAAAUAGAGUGGUCAGGGUUGGCCUCCUAAGUGAAAAUUGAGCAAAGACUUGAAGGAGGGGAAGGAGCUGGCCAAGGUACUGAGGGAAGAGCAUUGUAGGCAGAAACAACAGAAUAAAGGUGCUAAGAGGGAACUCCGUGGUGUGUCUGAAGCUCAGGAAAGAGGCUUGUCGAGCAGAGAGAGGGAGAGAAGGUAGGGGAGGAGGCCAGGGAGUUGUGGGACUCAGAUCAGUACAGAUUGUGCAAGCCCUGGGAGGCUAUUGCUGGGGCUUUGGCUUUUAUGCUGAGAUGGG